rnacentral:rRNA from 1 species
GACGUAGGGCGCGAGCGUUGUCCGGAUUUAUUGGGCGUAAAGAGCUCGUAGGCGGCUUGUCGCGUCGUUCGUGAAAACCUGCGGCUCAACUGCAGGCUUGCGGUCGAUACGGGCAGGCUGGAGUUCGGUAGGGGAGACUGGAAUUCCUGGUGUAGCGGUGAAAUGCGCAGAUAUCAGGAGGAACACCGGUGGCGAAGGCAGGUCUCUGGGCCGAUACUGACGCUGAGGAGCGAAAGCGUGGGGAGCGAACAGG